rnacentral:misc_RNA from 1 species
CAUGCUGUUAUGCAAUGUGUGCGGGUGUUUCGUGUAGAGCCUCCCGCUUCGACUCGUUCAUUCGCUCGAGACCGAUUUCUUGCGAAUGACAUUCGACGUGGACCAGAGUGAUGUCAUCUGUGCGAUAUCGACGAUCGAGAGUAAUGAUCUGAUCACCGUUUCCGUGAUUUUUAAGCGAUACGCGAUUGUCGUUUGCGCAUCACGCUUUCUAUUCGCGGCGCGAAUUUCCUCCUCGCUUCGUGCGAUCGUGGUUUUCACACUCGUGAUUUCGCCUGUUGUGAUGUCGUCGAUAUUGUUGCACGAAAAUUCGGAUUUAACUACGGUAAUUAAUAAAACGUCAGCGCAUCUUCAUAGCGCGAGCGCAGGAGCGGGGACGUCCGAUUUCGCGCGCGCGAGAGAGAGAGAGACGCUGCGAUUUCUCGGAAGAAGCUGCGAUUUCUCGGAAGUGGCCGACCAGCUCCGGUUGUUCCCGCGCGCGUUUGCCAAACGCGCCGGUCGUCGGCACGCACGCCCGCGAGUGUCGGGACGAAGCCGAUGAUUUAGAGAAUCUCGCGUGUGAGUGACGCGGUGACGCGUGGACAAUGCGCGGAAUUUCGGUUUUGAAUUUUGCGCGACGAUCGUGACAGCGCGUCACGCGCCUGAGGCCGUUGCUGGAUGUAGUGCCGCGGGUUGCAAUGACGUUUGGCUUUGACUUUGAGUGGUCGUUAGAGUGGUCGGUAUCUCUAUCACCUACCUAUCUACCCCUGGAAUCUGAUUUAUGUUACGCCAGGCACCACCGCCGAAUUUCUCCGCCGCCCCGUCUCCGCCGAGCGCCGACCUGGAUUCGUCGCUGAUUCUUGACUUUUGCAGCGAUGCAACUGAAUAAAUCACAUCUUGUUGCGGCCUGCCGGUAUUAGCAUCAUAUUGGUACUUGAAGUCAUACUUAUUUCGAAAGCGAAUUGGAGUAAGGUACUUAGAGGUCAGAUAGCGAGCGUAAGAUGUUGAACCCGGAAACUGGCUGCUACUCCGAAUCCGUACGAGCAUGG